rnacentral:rRNA from 1 species
GACGAACGCUGGCGGCGUGCUUAACACAUGCAAGUCGAACGGAAAGGCCCCUUUGGGGGUCCUCGAGUGGCGAACGGGUGAGUAACACGUGAGUAACCUGCCCUUGACUUCGGGAUAACUUCAGGAAACUGGGGCUAAUACCGGAUAGGAAUCCUUGCUGCAUGGUGGGGGUUGGAAAGCUUCGGCGGUUUUGGAUGGACUCGCGGCUUAUCAGCUUGUUGGUGGGGUAGUGGCUUACCAAGGCUUUGACGGGUAGCCGGCCUGAGAGGGCGACCGGCCACAUUGGGACUGAGAUACGGCCCAGACUCCUACGGGAGGCAGCAGUGGGGAAUAUUGCACAAUGGGCGGAAGCCGGAUGCAGCAACGCCGCGUGCGGGAUGACGGCCUUCGGGUUGUAAACCGCUUUCAGCAGGGGCGAAGCUUGUGGUGACGGUACCUGCAGAAGAAGCACCGGCUAACUACGUG